CAGCCGCCGCGGGAAUACGGAGGGGGCUAGCGUUGUUCGGAAUUACUGGGCGUAAAGCGCACGUAGGCGGCUUGGUAAGUUAGAGGUGAAAGCCCAGGGCUCAACCUGGGAACUGCAUUUGUGACUGGCAAGCUAGAGUGUGGCAGAGGGGGGUGGAAUUCCGCGUGUAGCAGUGAAAUGCGUAGAUAUGCGGAGGAACACCGAUGGCGAAGGCAGCCCCCUGGGCCAACACUGACGCUCAUGCACGAAAGCGUGGGGAGCAAACAGGAUUAGAUACCCCUGUAGUCCCUGUCUCUUAUAC
rnacentral:rRNA from 1 species